GUACCUCCAGCCCUGACUUCUCUUCAGUGCUCCAGACACAUGUAUUUCUCUGCUCGCCAAACAUCUUCCACACAACAAGCACUUUAAACUGAAAAUAUUCCAAAUCAAACUAAUCACAUUCUGCUUGCUAUCAGCAGCCUUCUUCACUCUCUGAUUCCUUUAUUUUGUUAGAUGUGGCCAGGUGACAAAGUUCUGUACAGUGGAAUGUAAACAGAAGUAUCAUGUGAGAGUUUCCAAGAACUUUUUCAGGAGGGAGGAAACACAUGUCCUUUGCCCUCCCUUUUUGUUUGCUGCCUUCUCCAUCCUAUAGCCUGGAAUACAGACAUGAUGGCUACCAUCUUGGACUAUGAACAUGAGGAUCACACCCAAGGGAAGGAGAGGCAGCAAGCUGGAAGGUACUAUGGAGCAGAACUGCCACAGCCUGAGUACCUACCUC
rnacentral:lncRNA from 1 species